GAUGAAGAACGUAGCGAAAUGCGAUAAGUAAUGUGAAUUGCAGAAUUCAGUGAAUCAUCGAAUCUUUGAACGCACAUUGCGCCCGCCAGUAUUCUGGCGGGCAUGCCUGUCCGAGCGUCAUUUCAACCAUCAAGCCCCGGGCUUGUGUUGGGGACCUGCGUCCGACGCAGGCCCCGAAAACCAGUGGCGGGCUCGCUGUCCACACCGAGCGUAGUAGCAUACACAUCGCUCAGGGCGUGCUGCGGGUUCCGGCCGUUAAACCCCUUUUUUACCCAAGGUUGACCUCGGAUCAGGUAGGAAGACCCGCUGAACUUAAGCAUAUCAAUAAGCGGAGGA
rnacentral:misc_RNA from 1 species